ensembl:lncRNA
CAUAUUUCUAUGUUUGGUUUUACCCAAUCUGAAACACUUAAUAAAUAAAAAAAUUAAAAAGGGGAAGUAUCUGUCACAGUAAGACAGACUAAUUUAAAAAAAAAAAAAUUAAAACCCUAAAGAAAAAGUUCAGGUGGGAGAUGGCAGACUCAAGACUAGGCAGAAAGGAAAAAAAAAAAAUUGCUUCCUUGUUUAGAAGUCACAAUAUAAAAUCUGUCAUGCUUAGUGUGAUAGUAAAUGAUGAUUUAUUGGAAUAUGAUGGGGAAACCAUUUGUACCAGCAAGCCACUUAUUUAGAGAUCUAUUUAUUUCCUCGCCUCCCAUCCUAACAUUGGUUUACUCUCUAAGGCCCCACAGCCAAUUUGACCCACGUUAUUUUUCUCCAUAUAUUAAAAAAUAAACUGACAAAGAAAUAAGGCAAAGGAAAGACAAUUACGUUUCUUUUAACAAAUGUAUUUGCUAAUUUUCUGUCUUUCCCCAGUUAAUCAUGUAUUCAAUUAUGGACAGGUUUUGAUGUAUAUGGCUGUAAUUUCUUGACAUUAAUAGAGUAUUUGCUUUCUGACUACUGGGAGAUGGGAUCCAGAUAUACUAGGACUAGCCUCUGCCCACAUCUCACACUAACUUCAACUCCUAUCCAACCAGAAUUUUUUUAUAACCAAGUAAUGUGCAAUAGUUUGUACUUUUUGCUGAAAAAUAAUUUUUGUUCAUUUUGUAUCAUUUAUUUUUAAUUAGUUUUGUCUGUGUGGUUCAUCAAAUUAAAAUAAUUAUACACAGGAUAGACAUUUUAUAUGGGUACAUCGGUGGUUGUAAAGAUUUGAUUGUUGGCAUUCUCGACCACCUAGAUAUAGAUCAGCUCAUUCGAUAUAGAUCAGCUGGUGUUUAUUUGUGUUUUCCCAUGGUUACAAACAGAAGCUUUACUCAUAAUUUUACAGUUUCCUAAGUGUUACAUCCGUACCAUUAUAAGUACACUACUACAGGGUGGUAUUAGUAAAAUCAAACUCACAGCUGGUUCAUGAAAAUUAAUAAUACAGCAUUUAUUUGAAAAGCACUGGUAAGGUGUUUUAGCGUGGGGUCUCCCCAAAGCACAUUCUGACACAAGGAUUCAAAUACAAGAAAUGCGAGAGUUGAUCCCAUAAAACAGAGCUAGUCCAGUGGAAAUAUUGGAACAGUAAAAUGAUCAACAAAAUGCACAUUAUGAAGCUUGCUGUCACAGUGAGCGGCCGGAGCUUACCCUCAAGAACAAACUCUGGGAAGGUGUAGUAACAUGUGCUACAGAAUAAGCCCAGUCAUAGGGUGAGGAGGCUAAGUGUGCAAAGACUGUCAGUCAUUUGGUUAAGGACUGUUGGGGAAGGUGUUGAUUUCCUGGCAUUUCCAGAUUCCCUAGAUGAGUAGGACUUUUUGAUACAGAGCUGCAGAUGCCUACCAACUAGAUGUUGGACUGAGUGGUCCAAGGAAUAUAAGUGGGUUGCUGAUGGUGAUUACCCUUGCUAUCUAGGAUACAGUGGGUGUUAAUUACAAUUAAUUUGUUGUUACUUGUUACAUGUCCUGCAGUUCUCUUAAAAUGUCCAGCUUAUUGCCCAAGAAAGAAAGAAGAAAGGAAGAAAAGAAGUCUCUUUUUCAUAAUUUAGGAAGUAUUUUAAGACCGACAAAUUUAAACCUUUUUUUUUCCUAUCAUGAAAUUGUUUGGGAAAUAAAAAUGAAGCACAAAUCCUAAUGUCUGUUAAUAAAUUGCCUUCAUGAAUAUCCCUUUUCUGUUAAAGCACAUGUGCUUCUUAAUCAUGAUACAUUUUAUUUCUGAAUUACUUCCAAUCUAAUUUGCAAAGAUGAUGGCACAAGUUACUCAGAUUCCAAUACACAGGUUUUCAUGAAGUCUAAUUACAACCAUUGAAGGAUUGGCAGAGAACCCAAGGAUCUAUUCACUGCACAUUUCUUCUCAAAAAGAGGAAAGUCCCAUGAAAACAAACAAAAAAGGAAAUAAGCCAUUUACCCUUUAUUUACUAUACAGAUGUCCAAGCUAUUUUGGCUCUGGGCAUGUAAGUCACUAUUUAUUUUCAGUGGUACUUGGUUUAUUCCAAGUAAAUAGAGAAUACCACAGACUUUAAUUGUUUGCAUAUAUUUGAAAAUAAACCCACAUACAUGAUAAAAGUGGUAUAGAGCCAACCAUCUCAAAAAGAUUUUGUCCAGUGGCAAACCUAACAGCAUAUAUUCUAUGGCCACUGUGUUCUUUCACUUUAUUCACUUUGCAAUAACUAUUCUAAGAAUGGUUUCUUAGCAUAGGCCUUUUCUAUUUCUCAAAAGUGUUACAUGUUUAGAGAAAAAAUGGUUUACAAGUUAGGAAAUGAUAAACAUGUCAAAAUCAUUUGUCUAAACUUAAGCUCUGGUGAGUUGGAAAUCUAAAAGAUAACAGUUUGGACUUGGAAUUUUAAAUAUUUUCAAAUUCUUCUAUUUAGGAAUUACUCAAAAUGAAUCCACAGGUUCAAAUACACCCAUUUGCAACGUCAAAUCACAGGAUCCAUAUGAGAUUUCAGUUCAGUAGGAUAUUUUCAAAAAUAAAUUUUUGCCAACAAUAGGGAUUAAGAUUAAAAUAUCUCUUUCAUUACUAAAGCAAUUGCACUAGAAAAAUUCAGCUCAAAUAUACCAGAUGAAGGGACUCAGAUUGUCAUGCCAAAUUGUUGGUAAAUUCCUCAAGUUUAUAUGUAAAUUUUACAAAUAUGUAAAUUUAUCAAAACUUUUACACAACUGUGUUAAAAAAUAAAAUACAACCAAGUAAAUUUUUUAUUGAUGUAUAGUUGAUUUACAAUGUUGUGUUAAUUUCUGCUGGAUAGCAAAGUAAUUCAGUUACACACACACCCACAUAUAUAUUUAAAAUAUUAUUUUCCAUUAUGGUUUAUCAAAGUAUAUUGAAUAUAAUUCUCUGUGUUGUGCAGUAGGACCAUGCUGUUUAUCCAUUCUGUAUUUAAUAUAAUGAAUCUGCUAACCCAAAACUCCCACUCCAUCCCUCUCCCACCUGCCCUCCCCCUUGGCAACCACAGGUCGGCUCUUUAUGUCUGUGGGUCUGUUUCUGUAUUAUAGAUAAGUUUAUUUGUGUCACACUUUUGUUUCCACAUAUAAGUGAUAUGUGGUAUUUAUCUUUCACUUUUUGAUUAUUUCACUUAGUAUGAUAAUUUCGAGUUCUAUCUAUGUUGCUGUAAAUGGCAUUAUUUGUUCUUUUAAUGGCUCUGUAGUAUCUCAUUUUGUAUAGGUACAUCAUCUUUAUCCAUUUUUCUUUUGAUGGACAUUUAAGUUGUUUCCAUGUCUUGGUUGUUGGGAAUAGUGCUGCUAUGAACAGAGGGGGGCAUGUAUCUUUUUGAACUAUAGUUUUGUCCAGAUAUACAUCCAGGAGUGGGAUUACUGGAUCAGAUGGCAACUCUAUUUUUAGUUUUAUGAGGAGCCUCCAUGCUUUCCAUAGUUAUUGUACCAACUUAUAUUCCCAUUAACAGUGUAGGAGAGUUCCCUUUUAUCCUCACCCUUUCCAGCAUUUGUUAUUUGUAGACUUAAUGAUAGCCAUUCUGAUCAGUGUGAAUUGGUAACUCAUUGUAGCUUUGAUUUGCAUUCCUCUUAUAAUUAGUGAUAUUGAACAUCUUUUCACAUGGCCAUUGGCCAUCUGUGUGUCUUCUUUAAAUGUCUUUUUAGUUCUUCUUCCCAUUUUUCAGUUGCGUUGUUUGCUUUUGGUUGUUCAGUCACAUGACCUUUUUGUAUAUUUUGGAAAUGAAGCCCUUAUCAAUCACAUUGCUUGCACAUAUUUUCAUCCAUUCUGUAGGUUUUCUUUUUGUUUUUAUGAUUUCCUUUGUGUGCAAAUGCUUGUAAAUUUAAUAGGUCUCAUCGUUUAUUUUUGCUUUUAUUACUAUUGUCUUGGGAGACCAACCUAAGAGAACAUUAGUAUGAUUUAUGUCAGAGAAUGUUUUGUUUGCGUUCUCUACUAGGAGUUUUAUGGUGCCAUGUCUUAUGUUUAAGUCUUUAAGCCAUUUGGAGUUUAUUUUUGUGUCUGGUAUGAGGGUAUGUUCUAACUUUAUUUACUUGUGGCUGUCUAACUUUCCCAACACCCUAUGCUGAAGGGAUUGUCUUUCUUCCAUUGUAUAUUUUGCUUCCUUGGUAGAAGACUAAUUGACCAUAGGUGUGUGGGUUUAUUUCCGUGCUUUCUAUUAUUUUGCAUUGAUCCAAAUGUCUGUCUUUGUGCCAAUACCACAGUAUUUUGACUACUGUAGCUUUCUAGUAUUGUCUGAAACCUGGGAGGGUUAUGCCUCCUUCUUUAUUCUUUUUCCGAAUGAGUUUAUUUUAAAGAUCUAUUUGGCUUUAUUGAGGAAUUCUUGAACCAGGAAGCAUCCCAUCUAGCAUGUAGAGGGGAGCUCCAAAGGGCGACAGAAAAAGAAAGUUUUCUAAAGGCAGAACAAAGAAGUCAGAAACAGAGGAAAAUAUUAAUUCAGAUUAGGUCAUCUCCCUUUUGGGGAAAAAAAAAAAAGGUAUUGUUAGCUGGGUUAAUCUACCUUCCUUUUGGGAUUUGAGAGGGCCUAUGUAACAGAUAACCUCACUGGUGCUUACCAGAAACUUCCUGAUUGACCAAUUAAAACUGCAUUUCCAGGGAAGUUGAAGCUUCAAUUAAGUUAGGUGGUAAACCCUGAUUUGAUGGUGCGGCUUAGCAUAAGUGACUCCAUUUUGUGCCUGUGGCUUUCUUUUUAACAGCUAUAAAAUUCUCAGUAUUACUAAGUAUUUUUUAGCUACUUGGAAACAGAGAAUGCUAAAUAUGGAGUCAAAUAUAAAGACUUCUCACUAUUUUCAGCUCUGUAAUCUUCUCAUGUCAUUUUUUAUCUUUCAAAUUGUUUACUCAUCUAUAAAAUAGCAUCAUAAUAGCUUCCCUCUAGGGUUAAUAUGAAUAUUGAGUGAGUUAAUGAGUGUGAAUAUGAAUUGGAAAUGGUAAAAUGUAUAAAUGUAAGAAAUAUGGUUAUUAUUACUACUAAAUUUCCACUUUAAUAAUUAUUCCUUUGUGGGUAUUAGGCCUGGAGCCUCUCAAUGGAUUAUUUUGUGUUUCUGUAAGUGGGAGAUCACAGUGUUAUAUAAUCACAUAUACUAAUUUUCUUAAUGUAGAUAUCAUUUCUUUUUAUUAAAUUCUAGAGUUCUUUAGUUUACUUUAUCUUGAAUAUUUCCAUAGAGAAAUUAAUGUGUUUUAAGUUUAACAUGGAGAAAAGAGGCCAUACCUAUUUUUAUUGUUGUCUUAUUUUACCUCAUCACUUGACUUCUUGGAUAAAAUGUGGGACCUAAACAUACAUGUAGUAUAAUUUUUAAUGUCAUAUUUUAUUUCUAUUACUAAAAAUCUUUCUUGUCUUCCAUCAUGUUUUAUAUUUGAUUUCUUAUUCUUUGUUAACUAGAUGAUUAAAUAUAUAUAUAUAUUCAUAUAUAUAUAUAUACACACUGCAUUUGGUAGAGAUCUUAGCUUAAACUAGUAACCAUUUGGUUUGAUGAUCUUUCCUACAUAGUUCAGCUUAACAAAGAGCUUCUUAUAUCAGCAAUUUUUUUUGUGCAUGUGAGGAUAUGUAAAUUUUGUUUAGUUUUCUUUUUUAAAGAGCCAGCCUUGUGCAGAACACUUUACACUGCACCUAAGGUCACACUGCAAAUACUGAACCCAAUUGUGGACUAGAAAGCAAUAAUAAUAACUAAUCAAAAAUGAAUUUGGCAAGAACUUUCAAUAAUUUGCUUCUCCAAUCUGAUAUCUAAGUCACUACCUACUAUCACCUGUUAUAUACUCCCUCACUUUAGUUUUACUGGUCUGUGUUUUCAUAGCAUUAAUUUAUAAGUUACCAGAGAACUUCACACAAUUUUCUGUAUUUCUGAAAUAUCCUCUUGAGUGUUAAGUUCUACUUUUUCUUUAAAUCUCAACUCAGAAGCUAGUACUUCAAGAUUUUUUAUGAAUCUAUACAUGUAUGUAUAACCAGGUCAACACACUGUGUAGUAGAAAAUUGACAAAACACUGUAAACUAGCUAUAAUGAAAAAAAUAAAAUAAAAUAAAAUUGUU